rnacentral:misc_RNA from 1 species
GAUGAAGAACGCAGCGAAAUGCGAUACGUAGUGUGAAUUGCAGAAUUCAGUGAAUCAUCGAAUCUUUGAACGCACAUUGCACCUCUCGGUAUUCCGGGAGGUAUACCUGUUCGAGCGUCAUUUGUACCCUCAAGCUCUGCUUGGUGUUGGGUGUUUGUUCCGCCUCUGUGUGUGAACUCGCCUCAAAACAAUUGGCAGCCGGCGUACUUGUUUCGGAGCGCAGCACAUUUUGCGAUCCAGAUCAACGUACAGCGGCAUCCAAGAAGCCUUAUUUAACGCUCUUGACCUCGGAUCAGGUAGGGAUACCCGCUGAACUUAAGCAUAUCAAUAAGCGGAGGA